UGUAUGGGAUCACAAGUGUUUGUUACCACUCCUAUCUUCAUCUUCUCUAUGUUACUUUCCUUGCAGACUUCUUCCAUGAGGAAGAUGUGAACUUGGAGAAUGUCUACUAUUCAGAGAUGAAAGAUGCUGGAUUCUUUGACGCUGAUUGGGAAUAAUCAUAACCUGUAUAUACAAUGUGAAUAGGAUUGUCUAUAAAUUGUCAUCUUAGGGCCUACUCUUUGACUUAUGUAUGUGUUAAUACAAGAUUCCCUAAUCUCGCAUUUGGCAUUUCGAUUUAAGAAAGAACAAGAACAAGCUUUCAUGUGUAAACCAAAAGUUUUCAGUCGACAAAUAGAGAGAGAUCCAUGGCAAACAGAUACUACUUUAAACCAACAGAGUCGCUUGACACAUUAAAGAAAAAGAAAAUGACAGAAAGAUUAUGAAAACAACAAACCCAACAAAGCCUUGGCUGCUCUUAAUACUAAAAUUACUUCUUAAGUUGAACGAGCUCUUCAAUGAGUUCAGCAGCUUCCUCCACAGUAGCAAUCUUCUGAGCUUUCUCUUCAGCCAUUUCGAUAUCAAACUCUUCCUCUAAACCCAUCACUAUCUCAACCUGCA